CCAUCAAGGACGUAAACGACAGCCACGUGGCGGAGAUCGCCAACUACGCGCUGAGCGAGUACGACAAGCGUUCUGGGGCCAAGCUCACCCUUGUCAAGGUCGUCAAGGGCGAGACUCAGGUCGUUUCCGGCACCAACUACCGUCUCGUCCUCAAAGCCAAGGAUGGAUCCGCCACGGCCAGUUACGAAGCCAUCGUCUGGGAGAAGCCUUGGCUCCAUUUCAUGAAUCUCACUUCCUUCAAACCCCUUCAUUAAUCUUAGAUCCAUACUUUUCUUCACUUUCUCUCUUAUCAUAUUUCAUGUGUUAGC
rnacentral:lncRNA from 1 species